GAUGAGCUCAAAUUUAAAAUCUGGCUGGUUUACUAGUCCGAAUUGUAGUUUAAAGAAGCGUUUUCGGUGGCAGCCUGGGUAUAAAUCCUUUGGAACAGGGUAUCAUAGAGGGUGAGAAUCCCGUCUUUGACUCAGUGCAUGCUACUAUGUGAUACGUUUUCAAAGAGUCGAGUUGUUUGGGAAUGCAGCUCAAAAUGGGUGGUAAAUUUCAUCUAAGGCUAAAUAUUGGCGAGAGACCGAUAGCGAACAAGUACCGUGAGGGAAAGAUGAAAAGAACUUUGAAAAGAGAGUUAAACAGUGCGUGAAAUUGUUGAAAGGGAAACGCUUGACACCAGUCAUGCGAGCGGAAAAUCAGUCUUUUGCAGUGGGGAGUUGUGUGGGUUCGGACCGCAAGGCCGGCCUGUGCUGCAUCUCUGCUGUAAGUGAUGCACUUUUUCGUUUGCAGGCCAACAUCAGUUUCUUCUGCUGGACAAAACUCUUGAGAAGGUAGCAGCUUUGGCUGUGUUAUAGCUCUUGAGCGAUACAGUGGAGGGGACUGAGGUUUUCGCAGCGCGUGCUUUCGGGCAAGGCUGAUUGGGUGCUAUGGGAUCGUUCGGUGUACAAUGCAUGCAUUUUGCGCCGUGUCUUUUCUAUACUCGCUCAACUCGGCUCUUCCGCGCUUAGGAUGUUGGCUUAAUGGUUUUAAUCGACCCGUCUUGAAACACGGACCAAGGAGUCUAACAUAUAUGCAAGUGUUUGGGUGGCAAACCCAUGCGCGU
rnacentral:rRNA from 1 species